rnacentral:rRNA from 1 species
AGUGGCGGACGGGUGAGCAACGCGUGAGAAUCUGGCUUCAGGUUCGGGACAACAGCGGGAAACUGCUGCUAAUACCGGAUGUGCCGAAAGGUGAAAGAUUAAUUGCCUGAAGAUGAGCUCGCGUCUGAUUAGCUAGUUGGUGGGGUAAGAGCCCACCAAGGCGACGAUCAGUAACUGGUCUGAGAGGAUGACCAGUCACACUGGGACUGAGACACGGCCCAGACUCCUACGGGAGGCAGCAGUGGGGAAUUUUCCGCAAUGGGCGAAAGCCUGACGGAGCAAUACCGCGUGAGGGAGGAAGGCUCUUGGGUUGUAAACCUCUUUUCUCAGGGAAGAAUACAAUGACGGUACCUGAGGAAUAAGCAUCGGCUAACUCCGUGCCAGCAGCCGCGGUAAUACGGAGGAUGCAAGCGUUAUCCGGAAUUAUUGGGCGUAAAGCGUCCGCAGGUGGCAAUUCAAGUCUGCUGUCAAAGGUCAGGGCUCAACCCUGAACAGGCAGUGGAAACUGAACAGCUAGAGUGCGGUAGGGGCAGAGGGAAUUCCCAGUGUAGCGGUGAAAUGCGUAGAGAUUGGGAAGAACACCGGUGGCGAAAGCGCUCUGCUAGACCGCAACUGACACUCAUGGACGAAAGCUAGGGGAGCGAAUGGGAUUAGAUACCCCAGUAGUCCUAGCCGUAAACGAUGGAUACUAGGCGUUGCGAGUAUCGACCCUCGCAGUGCCGUAGCUAACGCGUUAAGUAUCCCGCCUGGGGAGUACGCGCGCAAGCGUGAAACUCAAAGGAUUUGACGGGGGCCCGCACAAGCGGUGGAGUAUGUGGUUUAAU